AUUUGAGUAACUUAUAUUUAGAGUGUAACAUUGAAGAUGUUAUCGAGGUUAAAUUUUAGCCCUUAAGUG
rnacentral:tRNA from 1 species